UUAAUCUCAAAACUAGAGAUUUCAAGCUUUAAAAUGCUUUUUUUAAAAAUUUUUUACGAUCAUUUUUGACAAAGUUACACUGUCUUGAAUUACGCCUAUUUUCCGGAGUCAGAAUAGGUGAUUCCUUAAUUUGUGUCGAGUGUAUAUAUAUCAAUCAGCAAUCGCGUAGCGUCACUUUUGCAUAGGAAAAUUUUUCGCAUUACUUCGAGAAAAUAGGGUCCCUGUUUGCGUACGUUCUUGGGCUGUAUCACAGACGUCUCUAGGACAUCUGAUGGACGUUCCCAGAACAUCUUCAAAAUGUCUUCUCGCACACAAGUCGUAAACACGAUAUUGUGGAACCAGGAGCCUUAAAUACAAACAGAAGUUUUCAAAAAUAUUUUGAUUUAGUCGUCUAGCGUGCAACUCACUGUGGCGACUAUAUUGCGACGAGCUGUUGAAAAGAUCAAAUCAGUUAUUGGACAAUUAUCAUUGGACAAAACAUCUGCGGUUUGUUCCCAGCUGGACAUGUGUAAAAAAACUAAUUACUUCAUUUACUUCUACACCACCAAAUAGCUA